rnacentral:rRNA from 1 species
GACGAACGCUGGCGGCGUGCUUAACACAUGCAAGUCGAACGAUGAAGCUGGAGCUUGCUCCGGUGGAUUAGUGGCGAACGGGUGAGUAACACGUGAGAAAUCUGCCCUUCACUCUGGGAUAACUGCGGGAAACUGUAGCUAAUACCGGAUACUUUCCCUGGUGGGCAUCCACUAGGGAAGAAAGAAUUUCGGUGAAGGAUGAUCUCGCGGCCUAUCAGCUAGUUGGUGAGGUAAUGGCUCACCAAGGCGACGACGGGUGGCCGGCCUGAGAGGGUGACCGGCCAAACUGGGACUGGGACACGGCCAAGACUCCUACGGGAGGCAGCAGUGGGGAAUAUUGCACAAUGGGCGAAAGCCUGAUGCAGCAACGCCGCGUGAGGGAUGAAGGCCUUCGGGUUGUAAACCUCUUUUAGCAGGGAAGAAGCGAAAGUGACGGUACCUGCAGAAAAAGCACCGGCUAACUACGUGCCAGCCGCCGCCGUAA